AAUAACCUAUAGCAAAAUUUGUUAUAGUCUUUGGUCGUUGUCUUUUACACUCGUGUUAUAAAUACAAUGUAUGGUUAUAAGGAAAUCAACGUUUUCAUCUCCACACCGUGCACUGUAUGAUUCGAACAUUAAAAAUUUGAAAUCGGACUCUAAUAUAUAUAUAGAGUUUCAUUUUUUUCUUUUUUUGAAGUUUCCUCAUAUCUUUUUUUUUUUUCCGUCAAUUUUAGAAGUAGAAAGAAUUUAAAACAGAAGUUGACGGGAACGUCACAUGACCAAGGUCGGAACAGAAGAUAGCUUUAGUUCUGUAGACACAAUUAAUAUGUUUCUUCUACUUACACCUUUUGUCUCUUUC
rnacentral:lncRNA from 1 species